ACGUCGAAAAAGAAGAAAAAAUCGCAGUUUGAAAAGGUUGCGCGGUCGCGAGGCUGAAAAUUAUUUUCGUUCGAGGUCUUGUUAUCGCUUCUGGUCUAAGAUUUAAUGAGCGUUUGAGGUUUUUCUCUUUUGUGUAGGAACAAUAAAUUUUUUUUUAAAUGGGGAUUAUUAAAAGUAGACGAUUUUAUAAGGAUUUAAAAAGUUUUAAGAAAUAUUUUUUAGUAAAAAGUGCUAAGGAAUUUCAAAUUAAUUUCUAAGUGUAAUAAAAAAUUGAUUUUUUUUUAAUAAACUUUUUAAACAGUGAGUUAAAUGGGGUUGUGUUAAGAUUGAGGUUAUAAUCAAAAAAAAAUGUGAGAAAAUGAAAAGGAAACAUAGAAAAUUUCAAAUUUAACUCUCCAAUGGACCGACAAAGAUCGUUUCGAAGACGGAGAAGAAGUCGCCAAUCUUUGGCGAAACAAGUUAAGGAAUGUUUAAGGAAAUUUAUUGCGUUUAUGUUUAGUAAUGUUGGUAUAAUUGGGCUUGUGGUUGGUUAUGCGAUAGCGGGGGCUUUUAUAUUUAUAAGGAUCGAGGAGGAGAGCGAUUCGUCGGAUUUAACUGUAGAAAUGUUCGCGAAUAUGACGAUUUUAAAGCGAAAUAUCGCGACGAGUUUAUGGAAUCUAACCGUUUCGACGAACAUUUUGAAUAAAACUCAAUGGAGGAACGAAGUGAACGCGACCCUUUUGUCAUUCCAAGAAACCGUUUCCGUCGAAGCCAAGGAUCACGGUUAUUCCGGCAAGAACAAGACUGCCAAAAUGUGGACCGUUUCCGGCGCAUUUUUAUAUUCACUAACAGUCAUAACAACGAUAGGGUAUGGAAAUAUCGUGCCGAAAACCGAUUGGGGAAAAAUCACGACGAUCGUUUACGCGAUAAUAGGGAUGCCCUUGUUUUUAUUGUACCUUUCGAACAUCGGCGAUAUAAUGGCCCGAUCCUUUAAAUGGCUCUACGCGACUUGCUGUUUAUGCAAAGGAUGCCCGAGCGUCUCGCAACGGCGCUUAGAACGCGAAAAAAGACGGAGGGAAGUACUCGAAAUGGCCACGUUUCAACAGAUCGAUAGUGAAAUGUCCGAAUCGUCCAGUUGGAAGGAUAAAGAUGUCCACUUAGACGGAUACACUCCCGAAGAUGGCGAAGAUUACGCCCCGAGUAUCGCAACUUCGGAUAAUCUAACUGAAGAGUCCUUCGAUACGCAAACUGUAACGGUUCCAGUUUUAAUUUGUUUGGCGAUUAUGGUUGGCUACAUUUUAUCGGGUGCUUGGCUCUUCUCCUCAUACGAACACGAUUGGGGGAUGUUAAACGCUUGUUAUUUCUGUUUCAUCUCAUUAAGCACGAUUGGUUUUGGUGAUUUCGUGCCUGGAGAUGAAAUUUACGCCACCGAUGAAGACGACGACCAGGAAAUUUUCGGCUUCGAGUUGAGUUUUAUUUUGUGCUCGAUGUACCUGAUGUUGGGGAUGGCUCUAAUCGCAAUGUGUUUUAACCUAAUGCAAGAAGAAGUAAUACAUAAGUUUAGAAGUUGCGUGGCCACGAUUAAAUACGUUUUAAGAUGCGGAAGAUAAAAAUUAAAUUAAUAAAAAAAUUACUAAAUAAGAAGAUGGGUAAAGAUCGAAAUCGGGGAUUAAGAAAAACAGACUUUUCGGAUGAGAGAGAAGAUUGAAUAAUGUAAAUGUGAAUGGAAAAUAAAUGAUUAAUAUAAAAUAGAAUCUUUAAAA
rnacentral:misc_RNA from 1 species